UACGAAGGGGGCGAGCGUUGUUCGGAAUUACUGGGCGUAAAGGGCGCGUAGGCGGCGACCCAAGUCAGAUGUGAAAGUCCUGGGCUUAACCUGGGGACUGCAUUUGAUACUGGGUUGCUUGAAUUCGGGAGAGGAUAGCGGAAUUCCAGGUGUAGCGGUGAAAUGCGUAGAUAUCUGGAGGAACACCGGUGGCGAAGGCGGCAUCCUGGACCAAUACUGACACUGAGGAGCGAAAGCCAGGGGAGCAAACGGG
rnacentral:rRNA from 1 species